rnacentral:rRNA from 1 species
GGGUUGUGAGGUUAAGCGACUAAGCGUACACGGUGGAUGCCCUGGCAGUCAGAGGCGAUGAAGGACGUGCUAAUCUGCGAUAAGCGUCGGUAAGGUGAUAUGAACCGUUAUAACCGGCGAUUUCCGAAUGGGGAAACCCAGUGUGAUUCGUCACACUAUCAUUAACUGAAUCCAUAGGUUAAUGAGGCGAACCGGGGGAACUGAAACAUCUAAGUACCCCGAGGAAAAGAAAUCAACCGAGAUUCCCCCAGUAGCGGCGAGCGAACGGGGAGCAGCCCAGAGCCUGAAUCAGUGUGUGUGUUAGUGGAAGCGUCUGGAAAGGCGCGCGAUACAGGGUGACAGCCCCGUACACAAAAAUGCACAUACUGUGAGCUCGAUGAGUAGGGCGGGACACGUGGUAUCCUGUCUGAAUAUGGGGGGACCAUCCUCCAAGGCUAAAUACUCCUGACUGACCGAUAGUGAACCAGUACCGUGAGGGAAAGGCGAAAAGAACCCCGGCGAGGGGAGUGAAAAAGAACCUGAAACCGUGUACGUACAAGCAGUGGGAGCACGCUUCGGCGUGUGACUGCGUACCUUUUGUAUAAUGGGUCAGCGACUUAUAUUCUGUAGCAAGGUUAACCGAAUAGGGGAGCCGAAGGGAAACCGAGUCUUAACUGGGCGUUAAGUUGCAGGGUAUAGACCCGAAACCCGGUGAUCUAGCCAUGGGCAGGUUGAAGGUUGGGUAACACUAACUGGAGGACCGAACCGACUAAUGUUGAAAAAUUAGCGGAUGACUUGUGGCUGGGGGUGAAAGGCCAAUCAAACCGGGAGAUAGCUGGUUCUCCCCGAAAGCUAUUUAGGUAGCGCCUCGUGAAUUCAUCUCCGGGGGUAGAGCACUGUUUCGGCAAGGGGGUCAUCCCGACUUACCAACCCGAUGCAAACUGCGAAUACCGGAGAAUGUUAUCACGGGAGACACACGGCGGGUGCUAACGUCCGUCGUGAAGAGGGAAACAACCCAGACCGCCAGCUAAGGUCCCAAAGUCAUGGUUAAGUGGGAAACGAUGUGGGAAGGCCCAGACAGCCAGGAUGUUGGCUUAGAAGCAGCCAUCAUUUAAAGAAAGCGUAAUAGCUCACUGGUCGAGUCGGCCUGCGCGGAAGAUGUAACGGGGCUAAACCAUGCACCGAAGCUGCGGCAGCGACACUAUGUGUUGUUGGGUAGGGGAGCGUUCUGUAAGCCUGUGAAGGUGUACUGUGAGGUAUGCUGGAGGUAUCAGAAGUGCGAAUGCUGACAUAAGUAACGAUAAAGCGGGUGAAAAGCCCGCUCGCCGGAAGACCAAGGGUUCCUGUCCAACGUUAAUCGGGGCAGGGUGAGUCGACCCCUAAGGCGAGGCCGAAAGGCGUAGUCGAUGGGAAACAGGUUAAUAUUCCUGUACUUGGUGUUACUGCGAAGGGGGGACGGAGAAGGCUAUGUUGGCCGGGCGACGGUUGUCCCGGUUUAAGCGUGUAGGCUGAUUUUCCAGGCAAAUCCGGAGAAUCAAGGCUGAGGCGUGAUGACGAGGCACUACGGUGCUGAAGCAACAAAUGCCCUGCUUCCAGGAAAAGCCUCUAAGCAUCAGGUAACAUCAAAUCGUACCCCAAACCGACACAGGUGGUCAGGUAGAGAAUACCAAGGCGCUUGAGAGAACUCGGGUGAAGGAACUAGGCAAAAUGGUGCCGUAACUUCGGGAGAAGGCACGCUGAUAUGUAGGUGAAGUCCCUCGCGGAUGGAGCUGAAAUCAGUCGAAGAUACCAGCUGGCUGCAACUGUUUAUUAAAAACACAGCACUGUGCAAACACGAAAGUGGACGUAUACGGUGUGACGCCUGCCCGGUGCCGGAAGGUUAAUUGAUGGGGUCAGCGCAAGCGAAGCUCUUGAUCGAAGCCCCGGUAAACGGCGGCCGUAACUAUAACGGUCCUAAGGUAGCGAAAUUCCUUGUCGGGUAAGUUCCGACCUGCACGAAUGGCGUAAUGAUGGCCAGGCUGUCUCCACCCGAGACUCAGUGAAAUUGAACUCGCUGUGAAGAUGCAGUGUACCCGCGGCAAGACGGAAAGACCCCGUGAACCUUUACUAUAGCUUGACACUGAACAUUGAGCCUUGAUGUGUAGGAUAGGUGGGAGGCUUUGAAGUGUGGACGCCAGUCUGCAUGGAGCCGGCCUUGAAAUACCACCCUUUAAUGUUUGAUGUUCUAACGUAGACCCGUGAUCCGGGUUGCGGACAGUGUCUGGUGGGUAGUUUGACUGGGGCGGUCUCCUCCUAAAGAGUAACGGAGGAGCACGAAGGUUGGCUAAUCCUGGUCGGACAUCAGGAGGUUAGUGCAAUGGCAUAAGCCAGCUUGACUGCGAGCGUGACGGCGCGAGCAGGUGCGAAAGCAGGUCAUAGUGAUCCGGUGGUUCUGAAUGGAAGGGCCAUCGCUCAACGGAUAAAAGGUACUCCGGGGAUAACAGGCUGAUACCGCCCAAGAGUUCAUAUCGACGGCGGUGUUUGGCACCUCGAUGUCGGCUCAUCACAUCCUGGGGCUGAAGUAGGUCCCAAGGGUAUGGCUGUUCGCCAUUUAAAGUGGUACGCGAGCUGGGUUUAGAACGUCGUGAGACAGUUCGGUCCCUAUCUGCCGUGGGCGCUGGAGAACUGAGGGGGGCUGCUCCUAGUACGAGAGGACCGGAGUGGACGCAUCACUGGUGUUCGGGUUGUCAUGCCAAUGGCACUGCCCGGUAGCUAAAUGCGGAAGAGAUAAGUGCUGAAAGCAUCUAAGCACGAAACUUGCCCCGAGAUGAGUUCUCCCUGACCCUUUAAGGGUCCUGAAGGAACGUUGAAGACGACGACGUUGAUAGGCCGGGUGUGUAAGCGCAGCGAUGCGUUGAGCUAACCGGUACUAAUGAACCGUGAGGCUUAACCUUACAACGCCGAAG